UAAGAGGUCCCGCCUGCCCUGUGACUAUACGUUUAACGGCCGCGGUAUCUUGACCGUGCGAAGGUAGCGCAAUCACUUGUCUUUUAAAUGAAGACCUGUAUGAAUGGCACAACGAGGGCUCAACUGUCUCCUUUUUCCAGUCAAUGAAAUUGAUCUCCCCGUGCAGAAGCGGGGAUAAGCCCAUAAGACGAGAAGACCCUGUGGAGCUUUAGACAAGAGCAGCUCACUCUCAGCUUCCUCUAAAAAAAGAGUAAGACUAAUGUGAAUCCUACCCUAAUGUCUUUGGUUGGGGCGACCGCGGGGCACCAAAAACCCCCCACGUGGAAUAGGAGAACCCUCCCACAACCAAGAGCGACAGCUCUAAGUAACAGAACCUCUGACCCUCAAGAUCCGGUUUACCGAUCAACGAAACAAGUUACCCCAGGGAUAACAGCGCAAUCCUCUUCUAGAGACCUUAUCAACAAGAGGGUUUACGACCUCGAUGUUGGAUCAGGACAUCCUAAUGGUGCAGCCGCUAUUAAGGGUUCGUUUGUUCAACGAUUAAAGUCC
rnacentral:rRNA from 1 species